CGGCAACAGCUCAAAUUUGAAAUCUGGCCCUUUCAGGGUCCGAGUUGUAAUUUGUAGAGGACGUUUCGGCCACCGCCCCGGGUUAAAUUUCUUGGAACAGAAUGUCAGAGAGGGUGAGAACCCCGUCCUGACCCGGGCGUAGGAGUCAUGUGAAACCCCUUCGAC
rnacentral:rRNA from 1 species